rnacentral:rRNA from 1 species
CCUACGGGUGGCAGCAGUGGGGAAUAUUGGACAAUGGGCGAAAGCCUGAUCCAGCCAUGCCGCGUGUGUGAAGAAGGCCUUCGGGUUGUAAAGCACUUUCAGUGGGGAAGAAAGCCUUGGGGCUAAUACCCUCGAGGAAGGACAUCACCCACAGAAGAAGCACCGGCUAACUCCGUGCCAGCAGCCGCGGUAAUACGGAGGGUGUGAGCGUUAAUCGGAAUUACUGGGCGUAAAGCGCGCGUAGGCGGUCUGAUAAGCCGGUUGUGAAAGCCCCGGGCUCAACCUGGGAACGGCAUCCGGAACUGUCAGGCUAGAGUGCAGGAGAGGAAGGUAGAAUUCCCGGUGUAGCGGUGAAAUGCGUAGAGAUCGGGAGGAAUACCAGUGGCGAAGGCGGCCUUCUGGACUGACACUGACGCUGAGGUGCGAAAGCGUGGGUAGCAAACAGGAUUAGAUACCCUAGUAGUC